rnacentral:rRNA from 1 species
AACACGUGGGCAACCUGCCUGUAAGACUGGGAUAACUUCGGGAAACCGAAGCUAAUACCGGAUAGGAUCUUCUCCUUCAUGGGAGAUGAUUGAAAGAUGGUUUCGGCUAUCACUUACAGAUGGGCCCGCGGUGCAUUAGCUAGUUGGUGAGGUAACGGCUCACCAAGGCAACGAUGCAUAGCCGACCUGAGAGGGUGAUCGGCCACACUGGGACUGAGACACGGCCCAGACUCCUACGGGAGGCAGCAGUAGGGAAUCUUCCGCAAUGGACGAAAGUCUGACGGAGCAACGCCGCGUGAGUGAUGAAGGCUUUCGGGUCGUAAAACUCUGUUGUUAGGGAAGAACAAGUACGAGAGUAACUGCUCGUACCUUGACGGUACCUAACCAGAAAGCCACGGCUAACUACGUGCCAGCAGCCGCGGUAAUACGUAGGUGGCAAGCGUUAUCCGGAAUUAUUGGGCGUAAAGCGCGCGCAGGCGGUUUCUUAAGUCUGAUGUGAAAGCCCACGGCUCAACCGUGGAGGGUCAUUGGAAACUGGGGAACUUGAGUGCAGAAGAGAAAAGCGGAAUUCCACGUGUAGCGGUGAAAUGCGUAGAGAUGUGGAGGAACACCAGUGGCGAAGGCGGCUUUUUGGUC